rnacentral:tRNA from 1 species
AUUUACAUAGUAUAACUCUAUUACAUUUAAUUUCCAAUUAAAGUAUUUAAUUCAAUUUAAUGUAAAUA